CGAGUACCCAACCCAAAUACAUCCCCGUUCCAUCCCCACUCCCCUGCCGCCGCCGUCCAUCCCCACCUCCCUGCUGUCGCUCCACCACCUAUGUCCCCGCCGCCGUGCCAUCGCUGCCCUCGUGCUCCAGCGUCACCCUCGUCCUCGCUGCCCUCGUCCUCACGCUUUCCCCACCCCACCGACACAUGUUCCCUACCAUCGCCGGGGUCGCAGCCGCCGAUAGACCGACCCCGAGAUCCGUCCGUCCACCGUCCCCAACCCCAUUCCACAUCCCCGAGCCCUCGACCCCAUCCCCUCCUUCCUUCCUUGCAGUCACAGCCGCCGAGAGCUCCGUCCGCUGCCGCCUUCACCGACCAGCCCCCUACCCCACCCCCAAGAUGAAGUGAAUGCCUCUUAGGGAUUCUAGCGCCACCGCCAACCACCAUCGGAGACUGCCAUCCGCAAGCGCCAGCAUCGCCAUAACUACCGAAUCACCUCGGGCUGGUGGGAGUGGGCGUUGCUAGGACCAUUAAACAGUCCGAUGCGAGCCAUAUAUUUGAUAUUAAGCAAGUUGUCUGUGGAUGUUCAAUACCCACCUAAUUUGAGCUCCCCGUUUCCUUAUGCAGGGUGGUUGAUACAUGUCUUCACAUUUUUCAGAGCAACGUGCAGUGGAAGAAGCAGCCUAUGAACUGAAAUAGUUUGCAUAAGAAAUAGGCGAUGUACUCAGCCACCUACUACACAUGGAUGUGAUGACUUCGGAGUGUUCUGCAGCAUUUGGCUGUUUGCAGUAUUUUGGACCAGCCAACUUGUGGUCAUGAAUCUUAUGUCUGUUUUGGACCAUUUGGUGCUUCAAGUGUUUUGGAGCAUAUAUCUUGUGCUCAUGGGUGUGAUAUAAGUGUUUUGGUUCAUUUAAUGUUAGAACUCUUUUAGAACAGCAAAUAGUGGUCCCUUUAUGUGGCUUGUGUUUUCUCGAUGGUGGUCAAAAUGGCCAAACUUUGCUAUGUAAGGACUGUCUUGUUUUUGAACUUCUGAUCAAUAUAUAUAUGUAUGUUUGUGAACA